UCAUGGCUCAGGAUGAACGCUGGCGGCGUGCUUAACACAUGCAAGUCGAACGGUGAAGCAGAGCUUGCUCUGUGGAUCAGUGGCGAACGGGUGAGUAACACGUGAGCAACCUGCCCCGGACUCUGGGAUAAGCGCUGGAAACGGCGUCUAAUACUGGAUACGAGCAGCGGAGGCAUCUCCAGCUGCUGGAAAGAUUUUUUGGUCUGGGAUGGGCUCGCGGCCUAUCAGCUUGUUGGUGAGGUAAUGGCUCACCAAGGCGUCGACGGGUAGCCGGCCUGAGAGGGUGACCGGCCACACUGGGACUGAGACACGGCCCAGACUCCUACGGGAGGCAGCAGUGGGGAAUAUUGCACAAUGGGCGGAAGCCUGAUGCAGCAACGCCGCGUGAGGGACGACGGCCUUCGGGUUGUAAACCUCUUUUAGCAAGGAAGAAGCGAAAGUGACGGUACUUGCAGAAAAAGCGCCGGCUAACUACGUGCCAGCAGCCGCGGUAAUACGUAGGGCGCAAGCGUUAUCCGGAAUUAUUGGGCGUAAAGAGCUCGUAGGCGGUUUGUCGCGUCUGCUGUGAAAACCCGAGGCUCAACCUCGGGCCUGCAGUGGGUACGGGCAGACUAGAGUGCGGUAGGGGAGAUUGGAAUUCCUGGUGUAGCGGUGGAAUGCGCAGAUAUCAGGAGGAACACCGAUGGCGAAGGCAGAUCUCUGGGCCGUAACUGACGCUGAGGAGCGAAAGGGUGGGGAGCAAACAGGCUUAGAUACCCUGGUAGUCCACCCCGUAAACGUUGGGAACUAGUUGUGGGGUCCAUUCCACGGAUUCCGUGACGCAGCUAACGCAUUAA
rnacentral:rRNA from 1 species